rnacentral:rRNA from 1 species
UACAGAGGUCUCAAGCGUUGUUCGGAUUCAUUGGGCGUAAAGGGUGCGUAGGCGGCGCGGUAAGUCGGGUGUGAAAUCUUGGAGCUUAACUCCGAAACUGCAUUCGAUACUGCCGUGCUUGAGGACUGGAGAGGAGACUGGAAUUUACGGUGUAGCGGUGAAAUGCGUAGAUAUCGUAAGGAAGACCAGUGGCGAAGGCGGGUCUCUGGACAGUUCCUGACGCUGAGGCGCGAAGGCCAGGGGGAGCAAACGGG